UACGUAGGGGGCAAGCGUUAUCCGGAUUUACUGGGUGUAAAGGGAGCGUAGACGGCCAGACAAGUCUGAAGUGAAAAUCCAGCGCUUAACGUUGGAAGUGCUUUGGAAACUGCCGGGCUAGAGUGCAGGAGGGGCAGGCGGAAUUCCUGGUGUAGCGGUGAAAUGCGUAGAUAUUAGGAGGAACACCAGUGGCGAAGGCGGCCUGCUGGACUGCAACUGACGUUGAGGCUCGAAGGCGUGGGGAGCAAACAGG
rnacentral:rRNA from 1 species